rnacentral:rRNA from 1 species
ACAUGGGCAUGUCCGUGAAUGUAAAGUCCACUGGAAUGUGGCAGCGCUUCGGCGUUCUUUGGGUCAGAGAGGGUGAAAACCCCGUUUACAUUCAUUGUGGGGCGUGUCUGUUGUGUGGGCGUGUUGAAGAGUCGGAUUGUUUGGGAAUGCAAUCCAAAACGGGUGGUAAAUUCCAUCCAAGACUAAAUAUUAGCAAGAGACCGAUAGGGGGGGGAGUACCGAUGAGGGAAAGAUGAACAA